AAUUAACUACGUUUAAACCUAGGAAUUAAGUUUUUGCCUCAGUGGCUCGUUGGAGAGGAGCUGACUUUCCAUUCAACAGUUUAUGACAUUGAAGAAAGAGAACAACUCUUUUCUACAUGGUAUUUACAUUCAAUCCAUUUAAAACACAUAAUGGAUUUUCCUUCAUGAAAAACUUCCUAGAACUGUGUUGAAAAUGAAUUUGGAAAACAACCAUGAAGCAACAAGAUAAUACACAAGUGCUUUCAUCUGCAUCAGCCUCUAACUGGUCUAAAACCAGAGCCCGGAGCUUGAGACCUAGUCUCUUGGAAAUACUGGAUCAGUACUCCCAUACCUGAGAUUUCCAUAUACUUUUGCCUGCAUUUGAAAACAACCACAGCCCAAAUACUGGGCAGGGGCAUGUCUUUUUUGUAUUCUGGGGGAAUGAAGUGCUGUCUUCAAGCAAUUCAUCUAAGUUUUGUUUGUGAGCAAUGGGCAAAUGUAGCAAGAGACUGCAGCUGUGUUAUUUUAGAGUUGAGUUGAACUGCCUUGAGAUAACAUUGCCUCAUUUGACUUUUGCCUCCCUAUAGACUAAGUUUGGCAUGAGUGUUUUUUUCUUGUAAAGUGAAAAAAAUCACAUCUGUGAAAUCCAUGAAACAAGACUGAAUAAUUAAAAAAUGCUUUUCUCUUUGGUCUUCCUCUGA